GCAGUUUGGUAGUGGGCACCGGCUGGUGUUCUCUAAUUCCAUUCAAUUAUGAUGCCAUGAGAACAUGGAAUUAACAUCAGAUCCCCUGGGUAGAGAAUGCAGAUCCCAAGUCUGUCACCCCUGCCUCCACGUGCACACCCAUCACAGCCCUGGUGUUUCACCUGCAUUUCAGACGGAGUGAAAUCAUCACCUGAGCUUCCCACAUCCCUUUUCUUGGGUUCUACCCAUUUGCCCGAGUGACGCAUGGAACCCAGGGCAGCUGAACUCAAUCCAGAUGGAAUCCAAGGAAACACUCUCAAAUGAAUCCUAGCAAGGAGUUCUGGGUGGAGAAACAACUCCAAUCUACCCUUUAUAGAUGGAAAUGCGGUCAAACUACUCUUCCUGAGGGCACAGUCACGAGAAAAACCAGCAGCCAACACCCCCAAAGACUUAAUGAGGAAGCUCAAAGGCGGGCCAGUGUCUAAAUUCUAAGCCACUCAGUUGCCAAGGCUGGGCUCAAGCAUGAUUCUCCUGCCUCGGCCUCCCAGAGUGCUGGGGUCAUGCUCAGGCUUGGUUCUCCACACCUCAGUUCUGCACGGUUUGUGGCAAACAUGAACAGGCACAUGAAGGCACUGUCGGCCCCUAGGAACCAUGCAUGGACCCGGUUCUUCGGUCUCCACGCUUCCUUCCACAGAGCUCAGGGUUCGCUGAUGACGACCCCCAAGCUUUGGUCUUUAGGAGGCCAGGCCCCACACCCACAAGGGUCGGAAACCAAACCCAACCCAACCCAAGAAGAGGAGAUACCUUCGGUUUGGGUCCUGCAAGCCCACAGUGACAGGAGAAAAUUCAGCAGGUGGAGGAAGAAACGCACUAUUUAUUUACAGUUCACUCACGGUCUCCACAACUCCCAUACAAACAUAAAAACUAAAAAAAUAAAACCACCACUUGGGACCACAAGUGUCCAUCUUUAGCAGGCUGGCCGACGGGGCCGGGCCGCACUCUGUGGAGGGGAAGGAACGGGAGGAUGGGAGCCCUGCUGGGCAUGGGCAGGGCUCAGGGUGUCGCCCAUGGGGCACCGCUGGGCUCCCAGAGGGUGACGCUGCGAGCCUCCGCCCCCACAUCGCCACCAAACACCAAAAUUCGGAUGGGGGUCACCUCCUGAGCCACGUGGAGUGACAGUGACAGCAGGGGACACUAAUGUCACUGAGAGGAGCCCCAAGCCACAGGGACACCUGGAGCCCUGCCCUUGGGACUGACAAAUCAGCCACAGCUUCUGGCCAGAUGAGCGUGGACUCCGGGAGGUGAGGGCUUGGCCUGAGGGGGAGGCCGAGGACGGCCCUGUGACACUCACUGCGACCUGGACCCUGACACUGGGGCCUGCCCAGCCGUCCUCCCUCCAGGGGACUCAGGCCGGGAGGGCGCCCAGAAACCACCCCAGCAGCUGCGUGUGCACCGGGGACCUAGGCCGUGUUCACACGUUAUAAAUAUAAACUCAUAUCUGCUACAAAGAGGACGGAUAUUUGUACAACUUUACCCAUAUACAUAGUAACACAAUUUACACAUAGUAUCUUGGAGUGGGUCAUCUUGGAAAGAGGUGAAAAGUCCCUUCUCCCUCCCGCCCUGACCCUUCUCCAGGGACCCUUGUCCCCUUGGUCACACGGGGGCCGGGCCAGGCCAGUCUGACUGAGACUGGGCGCACGUGCACACGGAUACCUGGUGGGGAAAGCAAAAGGAAACCCCUAGCCCUUGGGUGUAGGCCCUUCCCAGAGCCGGGAGCUCAAUGCCUCCUCUGCUCCAGCACAGCAGCGUCCCAGCAGCGGCCCUGACAGCGGGGAUCCGGCCCAGGGCAGCGGGCUGGGGGGCUUCUAAAAACAUAAGGCAUAUCCAACCUGGGCUCAGACAGAGCCAAGUCACACUAAUACUCCCACGCCUGGGGCAUGUAAGAAAUUUUGUAGAUUUUUCUUAUUUAAAAAGAAAAAAAAUGCAACAGUAUCAGUGGAGGCCUGGAGGUAAGAGACCAGUUCCUGGGGGGACAACGUAAGCGGGACCCUGCGCCCCAUCCAGCUUCCUGUAGGGGACAGCCCUGCACCGCCUCUCUGUCCUCUCCCGGGCCUGGCUGGGCACACGGUGUGGAAUACUGACAGUGGCCGAGACACAGCCGUGGACACGGUGGUGGAUGGCGAGAUGAAGGCCCGCACGGCGGCCGGGUAACUUUGUACAGCAGGAGUGGCUCCCAUGGGGUCCCCAGCUCGGUGGCCACAGUGACCAGACUGCAUCGGAGACGGGCGUCUGGGUCCCCGGGGAGGCAGCACCUAUCGGCGGUAGUGAUUGGGGGCGUCAGCAAACAUGUACUUGAGUCUGUACGCCUCAGCCAGCAGCAGCCCGAUCUCCUCAUUGCCCCAGUGGAUCGUAGGCAGGUUCUGCAGCAGCAUCAGGAGUCCCUGGAACGCAAGAAAGGGCUCGUGUGGCUUCCAGGCUGCAGACCUCGCCACUCACCAGGUCCUCCCAGAGACCGGGGGCAGCCCCACCAGAUGCACA
ensembl:lncRNA